GUUCCAACCUGAGUGUGGGAGCAUGGUUAACAUGAGUUCGGAGACCCCUCGAGAAAGGGGUUUCUAUGGAACCACUGAAGACCCCAGGACUGGGGCUUUCUGCAGAGACCCCCGGGACGGGGGAUUCGACUCUGCAUGCCAGCUUUCGGAGACCCCCGGGACGGGGGUUUCUGUCAAGCCACCUUGGAGACCCCAGGACUGGGGUCUUCCGCUGAGACUGGCGGAUUCUGCAGACCCCCAGGACUGGGGGUUGUCUACAGAGACCCUCAGGAUGGGGGGUUUCUGGACACUUAAUUUUGGAGGCCCCCUGUGAUGGGGGGGAUCCGCAGACUUACUUUUGGAGUCCCCCCGUGACGGGGGGAUUCUGCAGACUCAAUUUGAAUGCAAUGUUAAAAAAAGCGUCAUUCGUACCCGGAUGAGGUGUCUUACCCGCUGCAGAUGCGUGGCGAAUGGGGGUGCAGUCUCCUUCAGGGAGUCUGUGCUUGGGCUUGAAGUGCACUCUCCAGACUUGUAGGAGUGUGUCCGCCUCGAGGGUGCGUCUGACCCGGUGUCACCAGCUGCGAGUUUUGGGGACUCUGGCCUCCUGCAUGGGAGGACGAAGGCUGGUGACUUCCGUGAACGGUCUUCCCUGCACUCCCCCUCCGGGGGGAGUACUAUUCCUCACAGUAUCUUGAAUGCAGAAAAAAAGUAGGACUUUAAUGUCUGAAAAAAAUUAAUGAUGACAACUCUGAGCAGUGGAUCACUCGGCUCACGGGUCGAUGAAGAACGCAGCCAGCUGCGAGACUUGGUGUGAAUUGCAGGACACAUUGAGCACUUACUUUUCGAACGCACAUUGCGGCCUCGGGUCCUACCCGGGGCCACGUCUGUCUGAGGGUCGGAUUAUGCUUGCAGAAGGGAGUUUCUUCCUGAUUGGUUGUGCCGGAUGCGUCCGCCGACCUAAAUUGUGCGAGUUUUCGACCCCGGCCGAGAGGCAUGCCACGAGAGGAUGUCCGAGAGCGGGAGUGGCGAAGUGCCUGCCUGCAAGCUUGGACCAGUGGUGGAAGCCUGUGCUGGGGAAUUCAGAUGUGGAGUCAAUCUCCUACUUAACUUUGUCGACCUCAGAUCAGGCGAGACGACCCGCUGAAUUUAAGCAUAUAACUAAGCGGAGGAAAAGAAACCAACCAGGAUUCCCUC
rnacentral:rRNA from 1 species